rnacentral:rRNA from 1 species
UUACCUAGGCUUGACAUGCAUUGAAAUCUGUUAGAGAUAACAGGUCCGCAAGGGCUUUGCACAGGUGGUGCAUGGCUGUCGUCAGCCUCGUGUCGUGAGAUGUUGGGUUAAGUCCCGCAACGAGCGCAACCCUCGUCUUGUGUUGCCAACAGGUAAAGCUGGGAACUCACAAGAGACUGCCGGGGUCAACUCGGAGGAAGGUGGGGACGACGUCAAGUCAUCAUGCCCCUUAUGUCUACGGGCUGCACGCAUGCUACAAUGGCCGAUACAAAGGGCUGCGAUACCGCAAGGUGGAGCGAAUCCCAUAAAGUCGGUCUCAGUUCGGAUUGAGGUCUGCAACUCGACCUCAUGAAGUUGGAGUUGCUAGUAAUCGCGGAUCAGCAACGCCAGCGGUGAAUACGUUCCCGGGCCUUGUACACACCGCCCGUCACGUCACGAAAGUCGGUAACACCCAAAACCAGGUGUCCAACCGUAAGGG